rnacentral:lncRNA from 1 species
GGCCGGAUAGGUCGAAUGUGUAGAACAACAUCCUUAGAACCCAUGCGGAUAUAGUUUUCAUAUAAUUUAUCUUUUUGACCAAAAUACUCAUAGAACACCUCAGAGUUCCACUGUCAACACUAAUCAGGUUAUCCACAUUGUAUUUUAAAAUAUCAAAUCCAUCUGAUGGAUUAUCCUGGCCAAGAUUUUGCUAAAUUGAAAUACAGCAACUCAUUCUUCUCCAACUCUUGAAG